GCGGGGUGGAGCAGUUGGCAGCUCGUCGGGCUCAUAACCCGAAGGUCGCAGGUUCAAGUCCUGCCCCCGCAACCAA
rnacentral:tRNA from 1 species